AGAACGAACGCUGGCGGCAUGCCUAACACAUGCAAGUCGAACGAGACCUUCGGGUCUAGUGGCGCACGGGUGCGUAACACGUGGGAAUCUGCCCUUGGGUUCGGAAUAACAGUUGGAAACGACUGCUAAUACCGGAUGAUGACGUAAGUCCAAAGAUUUAUCGCCCAAGGAUGAGCCCGCGUCGGAUUAGCUAGUUGGUGGGGUAAAGGCCUACCAAGGCGACGAUCCGUAGCUGGUCUGAGAGGAUGAUCAGCCACACUGGGACUGAGACACGGCCCAGACUCCUACGGGAGGCAGCAGUGGGGAAUAUUGGACAAUGGGCGAAAGCCUGAUCCAGCAAUGCCGCGUGAGUGAUGAAGGCCUUAGGUUGUAAAGCUCUUUACCCGGGAAGAUAAUGACUGUACCGGAGAAUAAGCCCCGGACUAACUCCGCGCCAGCACGCCGC
rnacentral:rRNA from 1 species